GGGACUUUGGACAGGAGGACUGGAGCUGAAACAUGUAAGAGGACGGGAGGACGGCAGGAAGAGGAGACAGGGAGGUUAUCUGGAGUCAUUCCGCGGUGCCCCAAAGUGGGGGCCUUUUGAGUGCACAAGCAUGAGGGAGCGGACACAGUUAUGGAGCACAUUGGGACAGAAACCAGCAAGUGACACUGAAAGAGGACCUGAGCCCUAGGACCAUGCUUCAGGACUACCUGACAUGAUGACUCCUUGCUGUCCCCAGUCCACCUGGCCGUGCUGCUGCUCCAGUUUCAACUGUUCUGCCUUAUUAUUAUUGGACCAUGCUGGUCAUUUAUGAACAUUUGAACAUCUUUGUCAUGUUCUGUUAUAAUCUCCACCCGGCACAGCCAGAAGAGGACUGGCCACCCCACAUAGCCUGGUUCCUCUCUAGGUUUCUUCCUAGGUUUUGCCCUUUCUAGGGAGUUUUUCCUAGCCACCGUGCUUCUACACCUGCAUUGCUUGCUGUUUGGGGUUUUAGGCUGGGUUUCUGUACAGCACUUUGAGAUAUCAGCUGAUGUACGAAGGGCUAUAUAAAUACAUUUGAUUUGAUUUGAUUUGAUGACUGAACAGAGAUUACAUUCUGGCAGUGUGAAAGUGGCAGGGCUGAGUAUUUGUAGAGGUCUUGAUUAUGGAACAGGUUGCAGCUGGUGGUGAUCUGCUCUGACUCCAGCACAACUGUCUCCGCCCACACAAUCACACACAAAGAGAGAGAGGGAGAGGGAGAGAGUACUGGGGGAGUGAAGGCACGUCAAGGAGACACAGGAUGAGAAGUAGAGGGCGGUGCAGGAGCAAAUGUGACAGGCACAGAGAUUACAUUUACAACUAUAUCUAGCCUAAUAGUGUCACGUGUGCUCCCUCUCCGGCCUCUAGGUCACCAGGCUGCUCGUUAUGGCUCACACCUGUCACCAUUGAUGCGCGCACCUGUGCGUCAUCAGACUCACCUGGACUCCAUCACUUCCCUGAUUACCUUCCCUAUAUAUGUCUCUCCCUUAGGUUCCUUCCCCAGGCAUUAUUGUUUCUGUUCCAGUGUCAUGUCUGUUCGUGGUUCUUGUUUUUUUACUGUCACGUGUGCUCCCUCUCUGGCCUCUAAGUCACCAGGCUGCUCGUUAUGGCUCACACUUGUCACCAUCGUUACGCGCACCUGCGUGUCAUCAGACUCACCUGGACUCCAUCACUUCCCUGAUUACCUUCCCUAUAUACAGUGCCUUGCGAAAGUAUUCGGCCCCCGGCUUUAAACUUCUUCACAACAGUAUCUCGGACCUGCCUGGUGUGUUCCUUGUUCUUCAUGAUGCUCUCUGCGCUUUUAACGGACCUCUGAGACUAUCACAGUGCAGGUGCAUUUAUACGGAGACUUGAUUACACACAGGUGGAUUGGAUUUAUCAUCAUUAGUCAUUUAGGUCAACAUUGGAUCAUUCAGAGAUCCUCACUGAACUUCUGGAGAGAGUUUGCUGCACUGAAAGUAAAGAGGCUGAAUAAUUUUGCACGCCCAAUUUUUCAGUUUUUGAUUUGUUAAAAAAGUUUGAAAUAUCCAAUAAAUGUCAUUCCACUUCAUGAUUGUGUCCCACUUGUUGUUGAUUCUUCACAAAAAAAUACAGUUUUAUAUCUUUGUUUGAAGCCUGAAAUGUGGCAAAAGGUCGCAAAGUUCAAGGGGGCCGAAUAGUUUCGCAAGGCACUGUAUGUCACUCCCUUUCGUUCCUUACCCAGGCGUUAUUGUUUCUGUUCCUUUGUCAUGUCUGUGCGUUGUUCGUGUUUCUUAUUUUGUAUUAUGUUACAUUUAUUUAUUUAAACACUCACCCCCUGAACUUGCUUGCCGACUCUCAGCGCACUCGUUACAAAUAGAAAGAAAUAUGGCAUAACCCUCAACAAUUGAACAGUGACAAGACCGUACAAAUGAGCAUACUGUAGGUAGGUAUGCAGACAGUAUCUACCUACAGCCAUGUCUAUCAGGCAUGCUUAGGCAAAUAUUCUUUAUAGUAAACCAGCGUCAUUUUUAGAGAUAUACAACUGUAAAUUGUUGUAUUAUUAUUUCUCCUCAUUGUUUGCUAGGUAACUUAGCUAGCUAGCUUGCUAGAUAUACAAUACUUGAUAUUUAAAUCUGUUUGGAAUCCUAUCUUGCGUCAUGCCUAUAAUUCUGUGAGAUUGAAAUGCAUCCAAGUUCAUAAUCAUAACUGAUGUCAACCCUCGUCAAUUGUGUUACAUAGCUAGCUAGUAAAAUUAUUUACAGUUGCUGAUUUUAUACCUGUUUGCUAACAAGUUACAGAUACGAGCAGUGGUAUAAAGUACUUAAGUAAAAGUACUACUUAAGUCGUUCUUUGGGGUAUCUGUACUUUACUUUACUAUUUCUAUUUUUGAAAAAUGUACUUUUACUCUACUACAUUCCAGAAUAAACACAGAAAUGUCUGCA
ensembl:lncRNA